rnacentral:rRNA from 1 species
AUUGAACGCUGGCGGAAUGCUUUACACAUGCAAGUCGAGCGGCAGCACGGGGGCAACCCUGGUGGCGAGCGGCGAACGGGUGAGUAAUACAUCGGAACAUGCCCAGUCGUGGGGGAUAACACUUCGAAAGAAGUGCUAAUACCGCAUACGUCCUGAGGGAGAAAGCGGGGGAUCGCAAGACCUCGCGCGAUUGGAGUGGUCGAUGUCAGAUUAGCUAGUUGGUGGGGUAAAGGCCUACCAAGGCAACGAUCUGUAGCUGGUCUGAGAGGAUGAUCAGCCACACUGGGACUGAGACACGGCCCAGACUCCUACGGGAGGCAGCAGUGGGGAAUUUUGGACAAUGGGGGCAACCCUGAUCCAGCCAUUCCGCGUGAGUGAAGAAGGCCUUCGGGUUGUAAAGCUCUUUCGGCAGGAACGAAACGGCGAGCUCUAACAUAGCUUGCUAAUGACGGUACCUGAAGAAGAAGCACCGGCUAACUACGUG